GACGAACGCUGGCGGCGUGCCUAACACAUGCAAGUUGAGCGCUGAAGGUUGGUCCUUGUACCAACUGGCUGAGCAGCGAACGGGUGAGUAACGCGUGGGGAAUCUGCCUUUGAGCGGGGGACAACAUUUGGAAACGAAUGCUAAUACCGCAUAAAAACUUUAAACACAAGUUUUAAGUUUGAAAGAUGCAAUUGCAUCACUCAAAGAUGAUCCCGCGUUGUAUUAGCUAGUUGGUGAGGUAAAGGCUCACCAAGGCGAUGAUACAUAGCCGACCUGAGAGGGUGAUCGGCCACAUUGGGACUGAGACACGGCCCAAACUCCUACGGGAGGCAGCAGUAGGGAAUCUUCGGCAAUGGACGAAAGUCUGACCGAGCAACGCCGCGUGAGUGAAGAAGGUUUUCGGAUCGUAAAACUCUGUUGGUAGAGAAGAACGUUGGUGAGAGUGGAAAGCUCAUCAAGUGACGGUAACUACCCAGAAAGGGACGGCUAACUACGUG
rnacentral:rRNA from 1 species